rnacentral:rRNA from 1 species
CUACGGGCUGCUGCAGUGGGGAAUCUUAGACAAUGGGGGCAACCCUGAUCUAGCCAUGCCGCGUGAGUGAUGAAGGCCUUAGGGUCGUAAAGCUCUUUCGCCUGUGAUGAUAAUGACAGUAGCAGGUAAAGAAACCCCGGCUAACUCCGUGCCAGCAGCCGCGGUAAUACGGAGGGGGUUAGCGUUGUUCGGAAUUACUGGGCGUAAAGCGCGCGUAGGCGGAUUAGAAAGUUGGGGGUGAAAUCCCGGGGCUCAACCUCGGAACUGCCUCCAAAACUGCUAGUCUAGAGUUCGAGAGAGGUGAGUGGAAUUCCGAGUGUAAAGGUGAAAUUCGUAGAUAUUCGGAGGAACACCAGUGGCGAAGGCGGCUCACUGGCUCGAUACUGACGCUGAGGUGCGAAAGUGUGGGGAGCAAACAGGAUUAGAUACCCCUGUAGUC